rnacentral:tRNA from 1 species
GGGUCGGCUCGCCUAUUAGUGCAGGCAAGGGUCUGUAAAACCCCCGCUUUAUUGCAUUGCAGGUGCGAAUCCUGCCCGGCCUA